GACGAACGCUGGCGGCGUGCUUAGCACAUGCAAGUCGAACGGAAAGGCCUCUUUCGGGGGGUACUCGAGUGGCGAACGGGUGAGUAACACGUGAGUAACCUGCCCUUGACUUUGGGAUAACUUCAGGAAACUGGGGCUAAUACCGGAUAGGAGCUCCUGCUGCAUGGUGGGGGUUGGAAAGUUUCGGCGGUUGGGGAUGGACUCGCGGCGUAUCAGCUUGUUGGUGGGGUAGUGGCUUACCAAGGCUUUGACGGGUAGCCGGCCUGAGAGGGUGACCGGCGACCCGGGAACUGAGAGGCGGUCCGGGCGCCUAGGGGAGGCAGCAGUGGGGAAUAUUGGACAGUGGGCGGAAGCCUGAUCGAGCCAUACCGCGUGGGUGAAGAAGGCGUGCGGGUUGUAAAGCUCUUUUGUGGGGAAAGAAAAGCAGCAGGUUAAUACCCCGCGGUUCUGACGGUACCCAAAGAAUAAGCACCGGCUAACGUCGUG
rnacentral:rRNA from 1 species